UGCUGAUCUUUUUCGAUCUCUCUCUUACCAAGACUGUAUAGAUCCGUUGCUGCACCAACAAAUUCUUCACCCAUUGUUACCACAAAAUGAAAUUUUUCUUGCCAUCAAACUUCUCAAACUCUACCUUAAAACUGCUUGAAGCCAUGUCAAUUUUCAAGCAAACUACCAGCCCUAACCCUUCUGCAAUACCAUGCCUCACACCCCAAAAUAGGAUCAAAUCUGAAAUAGAUAUUCUCCACCUUCUUCCAACCUUUCCUUGUCUCAAAAAUCCUCCACCUAACUGAGAGAUCACCACAACCAAAGAAGCAACAGAAAGAAAAACAAGGGAAAACCUGGGUGCUGUA
rnacentral:lncRNA from 1 species